CUUCAGGAACAAGCUUGAGCAAUGGCAAGAAGAAUUCUCACUGUGCCUUAGCCAUUAAUUGCGAGUGCUUCAUGAUUCGAAGUGAAAGCUUGGACAUCAUUAUCAAGUGGAUCACCAAAUCCUAAGCUCUCUCGAUCAACCAGCUUCCAUACCCUACAUCUUAGUUGGCGACGUUGACUUCGCUCGGGUGCAGUUAUGUUGUCUUCUCCGACUACUUUUUGCUAGCUUCGAAGCGGAAAAAGAGAAGAAGCAUGGAGACUUGGCCGUGUGGAGAUUCCCACCACCUAUAGUUCUGUCUUCGAUCGGUAAAGCAGCUAUGUUGUGUCAUGGUGAUAAGAUCAAAGGAAGCAUGAUUCCAUCUCCCUUAUCUCUGGACUUGACGAAAGACAGGAAAAGGAAUGAAUUCUUAUUCUCAAAGCACUCCAAAGGUCCACAUUUCUUUUCUUCCUCUUGUCAGCAAACCAUACAAAAGUUCCAAUAUAUCUUAUUAUUAUUACAGCUUUUUGUGAUAGCAUUUCUUGCACUCAUGAAAGAUUUAUUUGCAUACAUAUAAGUAAUGUGACGCAUCACACCAUCGACAUCAAAUAGGUAGGUAGAUAUAUAAGAUGAUCACACAACAGCCUUGGAGGCCUUGAUGUCCUCGCCACCCUUGUCGGCCUCCUGCGCGAUGUUGAUCAGCCUCGGCUGCCUCCUUGUCCCCUCGACGAGCUUCGGCACCGUCACCCGUAGCACGCCGUCCUCCAGGUGGGCCUUAACGGCGUCCACGUCGGCGCUAGCCGGCAGCCGGAACUGCCGCCAGAACUUGCCGGCCAUCCGCUCGGCCCGGUGCCACUUCUCGCCCUCCACCUCCUCCUCCUCGCCCUUCCUCUCGCCCGUUAUCCUCAGCACCCGAUUCUCCUCCACCUCUACCUUGAUGUCUUCCCUCCUCACCCCUGCGCGAAGAGCUCGGCCAUGUCAGGGACCGGCAAGCAAAGACGACGACGAGUAAUGGAGCGGAUGGAGCGCGAGGAUUAAAGCAACGAACCUGGGACGUCGAGGGAGAUGACGUGCGCGUGGGGGGUCUCCUUCCAGUCAGCGCGUGCGAGCGCGAGCGCGUCCACGGCCUUGGGGACGGUGAAGGGUGUCUGCUCCAGGAUGCGGAAGGGAUCGUCGUAGGCGGCGGGCAUCAUCAUGUCCCACAGCCUCCCGUAAUACGGCAUCAGCCCGUUAGCUGCCGGCGCAGCACACGAGGCCAAGAAAAGGACAACGAACAGUACAAGGAACGGCGAGCGCCUCAUUGUGAGCCGGUGAUCAGAUGGUUUCUUUCAGAUGAUGCGUAGAAGAAGAAGAAGAAGGGAGCACUGCGUAGCUUCAAGGAACUCCAGAGAUCGCACUUGAUCUGGAUCUUGGAAUAGGAUGGAGCUUCCAUUUAUAGUGGAGGAGGCGUUUCCAGAGUCAUCCCUUCCCGGUUCUGGCAGCUUCUGGUGGUCUCAGGAUGAAGAUGGCGUCGGUGUGCGUUGGUCUGGAAUGCUCUCUCGCGCGUGGAAAGCGGAUGCGCGGCGUGGCUUGAAACGGGUUUUCUCAUGUACACACGUAUACCCGAUCCAUUUGUCUAAUCGGAUUCGGAUCACAUAUGUAUUCCUAGACUUAUCUUUGCCCACUUUCUUAUGAGAAUAUUAACCCAGCAUUAUUCUGUUCAGCUUGUGAACACCAUAGUCAACGAUCUGCAACCAAUAACCAGUUUGCUACUUCAACCAGGAUCAAUAUGGAGAAUCAGCUCUAAAACAUAAGAUCUAUGGCUUUUAAUCUCUGGUGUCCUCUGGGUGAGGAUCGCAAAGCCUUUCAAUCUAGUAGCACCACUUCGAAUAUUAAUGGAUUUUUAAUCUUGAAGCAUAUUUCUUGAUUUCAUGGGCAAAUUGCAUCACAAUUCCAAGUAGUUUCACCAUCAUAGUAACAAAUAACAAGAUCUUGCAAAGAAAGAUGCGGAAGGGAUAUCUUGCGAAGUAGUGACAGGGAACCCGAAACCUGUCACUACUCAUAUCACAAUCGAAGUACUUUGACCACAAAUUUCUCAUGAAUGGUAGUCUAGAAUUAACAGGAGAGAUUUAUUACAGUAUCAGAGUCAACCAAUAAAUUAUUGUUGAAAAGAAAGAUGAGCAAAAGACUUCAUGACCUGCAUUGCAAAUGAUGUAUAAGUUGCCGUAAUUGGCAGGGCUUCUUUUACUUUAACAAUAAUGAUUAUACUAACAACCAAUCAUCCUUUCUUUGACGUAAUCCUCUGCUUCGUCCAUUCUUCCAUGUUUUUUCGAUGAUGAGAAUUCAUUCUAAUGAAAGGACGCUUCUCGCGGAUCAUCUUCUCAGCAUCUUUCCAGCUUUCGGCCACUCCUAAUUCAACUAGGAGUGCACACAUUACACAGACACUUCUGCCAUGGCCUGUUGCAUUGACGGAUCAUCAGCAGAAAGAACAGAUAAAAGGAGAAAUGUAAACACCUUCCAAACAAACAAAUAGGCAAUAAUGAAGAAAAACUUUAAGUGUAUAAUGCUGUGCAUACUGCAUAGUAUAUAGAAAUGUUGAGCAUGAAAAAAAUAGCACAUAUUCAUAAAACUAAUGGUAUUCUAGUCUUUGCAAAGGAUAGAAAGCUUGCAAUAUGUUCAAUACUCUAGAUCAGUUACAAACUCCUUUCAAUCAACAUCGCAACAUCUGGGACAGAUAGUAAAGAAGAUGGAGCAUAUACAAGAAGUGCGCUUUGUGGCACAUACUAGCAAUAACCAAAAAAUUUGCAUAGGCAGAUGUCAUGACCAGCAGAACACCAUGAUGCACAAUGCAAACAAUUUUCUUAUAUGGUUACACACCUACUUGUGCUGACUACCACAGUGAUUUUUAAGCAUGAAGAUAGUUCUACUUUGUACUUUUAGAAUAAAUCUUUCUUGACUGAAAUGACAUCAGUAAAUUUUGGGAAAUACUCUACUGGCAUUGCUACUGCAAUUAUAGAAAUAAUUUGGCAUAUUUCAAGCACACACUGAAAGAUAAAUGCAGCAAAAUAAUCCUAAAUGGAACAAAUGAUAGUUCUUGAUCUACAUUUGAGACAACCUUUUGUUGCUUCCAAGUAACAUGCCACUUAUAUAUACUGCAAUAUCUACAUAAUGGAAAGUGAUAAUCAAUGACCUACAUGAAAGAUACUUAUGAAAUGUCAAAUUAUUAAAAGAUCCUUAAAAAGCCACUCUGAAAAAUGACAUUCUUCAACAUGUUUCACGGACUAGAAUAUAGAAAUGCUUACACAAAAUUUUGCUCAGGCUGUAACUAGUUUAAACGCUCCUCAAGCAGAAAAUUAAGGCUACCAUUUAUAUUGGGUUUCUGAGAUAUCUUAUUUAUAUAUAACAUAUUCACUUCAGAAUGUAAGCUGCUGUUUUCAUCCUUUCCCCAAACUGCAAAUUGAAAUAACAAUGUUCACCUGGUGAGCUGGCAAUGCAAGUUUGAUGCAUGCAGCUGAAUUCUAUCAUUUCUUUUAUGGUACAAAGUUGAAUAGUACAAUUGGGCUCAAACUACAUUAACUUAAGAAAAGGAAAUAAAAGAGAAUCCAAAGAAAACCAUUAAUAAAUUAGUAUCGCCUAAAGUAACCAACUGGAAGUAGAGAGGAUUCUUACCAUUUGCACAAUGAAUGUAAAUUGGCUUCUUUUCAGCUCUCUUUUGGCAUGCCCAACGAACCGCAGAUUCAAUCUGUGCUGGACUUGGGGACCUUGAAUCCCAUAGAGGUAUGCAAAAAUAUGCAUCCUUGUUAAUAAAAGAGCCCUUCGGUAAUUCACAUGUGCAAUCGAUUACUACAGGAUCACCAGGAGGCAUCUGACUUGGGGAAGUAGGCCAACCCCCAACAUACAGAUUUUCAGAAACUUCAUUGUACAAUGACUCCCUCCUCUUCAACCUUUUGAGCACAGCAUAUAACCUAACAGACACUAGAUAUGGGCCGAAAAUAAACUUUGCCCAGAGAGGGAAACUUCCAUCAGAUCUCUUUCCCAAGAGCGAUGGCAAAUUUAUGGAUGGAUGAGAUGCAAUGGAGACCGAAUACCCAACCAAAGCACCAACUAAGAGAGGUAUUGGCAUGUAAGUAAAUCCAGAUUUCUUGAGGUAGAUAGCUGCUGAGAAGAGAACUGUUGCCGCACAUCCGACAACCUUUGAUAUCCCCAUUAUUUCUUUUCUUUAAGGAAAAAUUGUUUCUAACUUUUUACCUGAGCCAAAAGUGGAUGUAAAUUUGAAUGAAAAUUACAUGAUGCAAUUUUUCUCAAAAAGAAGAAAAAUAACAUAUAUACUAUUGAAAAACACAGAUCGAAGGAAUCAGCAAAUGAAUUUUAUACCUGACUAACUAGGUUUACGAGAUGAAUUACUGUAAAUGUAAGGCUUUCUUGCCUAAAAAUAGCAAGAUUGCAGCAAUUAGAGAUAACCAACACGAACAAGAUCUCCACAAUCAAAAGCCUUCAUUGUUAAGAUACAUUAUAUGACAUCUUCACACGUUCUAUUAGAAGAUCUUGUAAAUGACUAUUGUAGAAAAAUUGGGACUUCGAAAAUAGAAAUCUGUUUUAAUGUACGAAACCCACUGAAGCAUAAGAAAGAUACCCAGUCCUACAGCUCAGGUUAAAGCAGCACUCAGUGGUUUCUUACAAACAUCCAAACUCAAAAGUCCAAUCCAAAAAUCAUCCUGAUCAUACUACAAUCAUUCUCAUUUUAAGCAGUCAACUUUGUAAUCGAAUCUACUCAAUCAGAUCAAGCUACUUGCUUAUUACCAAAAAAAAGUAACUAUUUUUCUUUUGUAAAAACCUAAAACAAGUUCAAAUCCGAAAAGGGAGGUAAUCAACAAAGAAGUGAAAGAGGAUCCCGAUUACUUUCAAAAGCAAUUGAGGCCGAGGCCCGACCUUUGAUGACAGCGCGAGAGCAGGCGAUUGAAAGGCCGACGAGAGAUACGGACAGGAAAGAAGCAACAAACCUACAAGCCGAGGAGGAGGGGGCGGAGCAGGAGGAGAAGGGGAGCCCCUCACCCCAUAUUUGAGCGCCGAGGGGAGUGGAUCGCCAUUAGAAAGGAAGUCCACAAGCCCGCUUUGCAUCUUUUCAUUUGCCCAGCGACCAAGGGAUCCUACUGAUUAACGUGCAGAACCACGUAAUAAGAGACAACUUAGAUUAGCAGCGGUCUUAUGACACGUACCCGAGCUGUUUGCUGAUGGUUUACGUGUCGAAAUAGGCUUCAGUUAGGAUAUUCUGUAUGGUUUCAUCGUUUGCAUACGAUCCUCCCGGUUCAACUCUAGGCCGGGAGCAGUUCUUUUCUGUUUGGACCGGACCGAUUGUGCUGCAUGUAUAAUAAAUAAAUAAAUUUAUAAAAUGAUAAUAGUUUCGAUACAUGAACAAAAUACAAAUUUAUACGAGAAUAAUAAUUCUGAUAUAAUGUUGCGUACAUGUUAUUGGAGUGCAUGUGGUGUCCGGUCAGCUUUUAACAAAACUAAUUACAUAUUAUUUAUAUAAAUAAUUAUUUUUAACAUCAUAAUCCUUAUAUUUUUAAAAAUUAUAUUAAAAUUUUUAUAUUUACUAAUAUAAAAUCUUUAAUCUUAUUUCUCCUUACGUCAUCGAUUCUAUUGAAGAAAAAUAUCAUACGUAUUUAAUGAUAAACCAAAUGAUACGUAAACUCUACGAUAUUUUCGUCAACAAAGUUAAACAGAACUAAAUAUUUUUUAAAAAAAAUAUAAAUAUCUUAAUAUAAAUUUUUAAAAAUAUAAAAAAUAUAAAGAUCGAGUUAUUAAAUAUAAUUAAUUAUGAGGGACAAUAUGUAAUUAAUUUGUUUUAAAUAAUGAAUGAUCAAAAGCAUUGUACAUAAAUAGUUAUUUAUGAAGAUUAUUACAAUUGUAUUAGUUUCUCAUUAAGCAUAAUAUUUAGCUACUUUGUAGAUGACGCUAGUUAGAUCCAUUAAAUAAUGUAAUUUUCAAGUUGAAAUUUACCUGUUCCUGACGCAUUAAAUUAUUUUUAAUACCAACAAAUCAACUAUAAGUAUAUAUAUCAAUAUUAAUAUCGACCCUCACUCUUUUUAAGUGGAUGUUAAUGUCUCACCAAAACGAAAAUUCGAAAUCAUUUGGAGGGAUGAAAUGAAAUGAAAAGAAAAGAAGCAAACGAGGGCGGAGGCGGCUUUUCUGCCUCCAUGUGGGUUCGUGGGGCUUCCUCCCGAAGCAGAUGUUGUCCUUGUUCCCAUCGAUCGCCAUGGUUUCCUCCUACUCCUCAUCGACGUUGGAAGAGCCCCGGAUCUGCGAUCCCUCGGCGAUGGAGGCAGCGGCCCGGGUUUCGGGGACGGUGGCGGUGGCCGCAUGUGCGGCCAUGGCGUUCUUCUACGUCGCGAUCCUCUACUCCCCGACCCUGAUCCUUCGCCUCCCUCCACCGGCAUCGCUCGAUAGCUUCAUGAUCCGGCGGUUCGCCUGCGCGGCUGUCUCCUCCGCCGCCUCUGUGCUUGCCUGCGGCCUCCUCCUCGGAGUAAGCCGCUUGUCGCUUCAUCUCCUCCUCGAAUCCCAGGGACUCAAAUAUGGCUUUUUUAUCAGCUCGGGAAACUCGACGAUUUGCCAUCUAUCCUCGGUGUUCUAGGUAUCAGGAGAGAUCACUUGGUAAGUUAUCGAGUUUUUUUUGGAGAUUUUCUAACAUUGCAAGCUUAAUGGUGGGGAUUGUGCAGUGGCAAGCUGUGGCCUUUCCUCUGCUACUGACAUCCUUCCUGUAUACCGGGUCAUUCGUGUCGAGGUCAUGGAACUUGAUUAGUGCAUCAACAGAAAGGAGCGAAAAUUCUUACGGGGAAGAUGGAAUCUGUGGACAAGGGUGUACAGAUUGGGUGUGUGCAUAUGCCCGGAAUGUGAUGGCUUGGCGUAAUUAUGUGGUGGUAAGCGCACUUCUUUCCCUGGAUAUAUAUGCUUCGUAACAUGUAUCCAUUUUUUUUACUAGAUUCUAAUCGACUGAAUUAUGUAAAUUAUAGGUUUCUAUAAAUGUAAGACACAUGUGCAACCCAGGGUCACGUUUGAUUUUCUUGACAUCCAAUUUUAGUUUAACCAGGUAGAGUCUUAUUUCAAUGUAUCUCUUUUCAGACUCUUUAAUCACUAAAUGAAAGAGUUCCAGAAGGAUUAGGAGUUUAUUCAAAGGAUAAGUUGAAAGAAAUAAGAAUCCAACUGACACCUAAUUAGAGUAGGAAUAGUGGUUGGCUAUAACUACGUAUGACAUAGGGUGCUGGUCAACAGAUUAUAUGCAAAUAACGUUUGAUGCAGAAUUAAUUUGCUUGAUGGCAGCAAGCAUUUUCUUUUUGAUGCUACAGAUUGUUGGGAGAGCAAACAAGCAGCCUCCAAUUAUCUCUCCUUUAUCAUCUCCUCUAUUUUUCCUUAUCAUCUGAAAUUAAUUUACACUAAACAGUGUCAUAAGAAGAUUCUUCAGUUCACAAACAAACUAAUCUUUCCACUCUUUUGCCACAUUGAUCAAGAGACUUGGUGCAACCAAAAUAGAUAGAAAAUUCGGAUUGUUCAAACUUCAAACCAUAUAUGUUUUGACCCACUUGCCAAUGUGACAAUUCUUCCUCCAUGAUUUACAAUUUUCAGUAGUGUUGCUAAGGUAUCCUAUUUUACUGAUUGUUUUUAUUUUGUUUAUUUUGCUGAGAUAUAUCUUUUUUGUUUGAUGGUACCGUUCAUGAGAAUUUAACAUGACAUAAAUGUCAUGAACUAGGGAGAAUGGGAUGAUGAGUUGGUUUGAAAUUUGAAGCCUAUGAAUAAUAGGGCAAUAACCUUCAAUUGUUUCCAUACUUUAUUUUAUUUAUUGUCUAUGUUCUUUUUAAUUGGAGCUCACGUAUGCACACAUUUUCCAUAUCCAUUAUACAGUACCCAAUCGCCUGCAUUCUACUUCAACUUUAAAAUAAAAAUUCUUAAUAUUAUGCUAAUUAGACAAGUUUACAAAAAACACUCUUACAAGGGAUUAAAGUCUUAAUACUUUCCAUUUAUCUUGGAGGUGCAUUUCUUUUUUCCAAGUUCUUAUACAAUGAAAGAUAUAGCAUCACUAGGAGAUAUUAAAGGUAAUUAGUUCAAAUCAGAAUGUGAUAUGCCUAUUGCUUUGGUUUGAUAUUUUUGGUGAUUGACUUAUUGGAUGACUUGACAUAAUUGUUUGGGGCAUAUUCUUAGAUAAUUUUUCAGUUAUUAAUUGCUUCUUGUGACUGAUAAAGGGUGGUUCUUUCUUAGCUUCACAAAUAUUGAUUUAUUCCCUCGUGUAUGCAAUAAUUGAGGUUCGAGCCUUUUGUUGGGAUCUAUACAUUUAGGUAGUUUGAAAUAGAAUACCUAAUGUUAAGAGAAUGGAAGUUUGAUAUUCUAGAAGCUGAAUCUGUAGGCAGUCCCUGUUUUUAACCAAUGGUAAUUUUCUCAUCACACCAUAGUAAGCGGUUUGUAUUCUUUGAGGCAACGUGAUAAUUCAGCUGGGUUUAGAAAUAAAUCAUCCAAGUCUAUCUGAAACUUUUGAUUAAUAGUUUAUUGUUGUCUUGUGUUCAAGACUUUUUUUUUUCUUUUCCUCUUUGCCUUUGUUUAGAAGUGUAGCAAUUUUUUCUUUGUGAGAUAAACUGACAAGUAAUUUCUAUGGACAGGCACCAUUUACUGAAGAGCUUGUUUUCAGGGCCUGUAUGAUACCAUUGCUCCUUUGUGGAGGAUUUGGAACUAGCAGUAUCAUAUUUUUCAGUCCGGUUUUCUUCAGUUUAGGUAAGUAGAUGCUGAUCUCUCUAGUUUCUCAACUUUGUAUUGCUUUUGAGUUUUACUAUGGGUUUGUAAAUUGAUUCUCAAUUCAUACAUGAAGCAUACUAAUCUUUGGAUGUAUUAAUUAUUAAUGUAAGAUGUUUUUGCAAAAAAAAUUUUGUCUCCACCCAUAACUUUAGAUUGCAUUUACCAAUUUCUAUGCAUGUUUAUAUUGUAAGUUCAAUGCAUCCUUACCAUUCUUCUUUCUUCAAAUUUGUUGGAUAUGAUAAUAGCAAGUGGCUGUACCAGAAACUCUUUGAGUGAUCUUGAUAAACGCAACAUUUCUUAUUUCUUUGGCAGUAGACUUGUAAUAUUUCAUUGGCAGUAGUUCCAUCAAUCAUGCAACAUAACAUUUCUUAUUUAUGAUCUUGAUAAACAAACCUACUUCAAGUUCUAGACUUUUCAUAUUUUUGCGACAGUAGUUCCAUCAUUCAUGCAAUAUAGCAUUUCUUCUUUGAGUGAUCUUGGAAUUUUAUUAUCCAUCUUUUUCCCAUCUCUUCUUUUGUUUCAGCACACUUAAAUCAUUUUUUGGAGCUCUACUAUCAGCAAAGAUACAGAUUUAUGAAGGCUUUCCUGAUUGUAGGUACUUCUUUUAUCCUAGUGCUGAUAUGUCUUCCACUUGUUCUUUUAAGUCAUGAAAAAACAUAACUGUUAACAUUUUUCUACUCCAAGACUUUUUAUGCAAUUGCAAUCUUAAAUUGCUGUUUCAUUCUUGCUAGGCUUCCAGCUUGGUUAUACUGUGAUAUUUGGGUGGUAUGCGUCUUUUCUCUUCAUUCGAACAGGUUUGUGCACAUUGAAUAUGUUAUUACAUAAAAUAUGAUGCCUUCUCUUUAGUACUCUACUCUUUAGAAAAUUAUUUGGAUGUAGAAACUUCUUUUGCGUGGGCUUUUGUUGUUUUUUGUUAUAAUUAUAUCUGAAACAAUGUUUGUAGCCACUGUAAGACUGGUGACAGUGUGGUUGCUCCUUGAUGGAUGUUUAUUAUAGAUGAAAGUUUUCUGUAGUCCAAUAACAUUGGCAUAAAUAAAUGCAGGACCUGACAAUUUUAAAAAAAAAAACUUCACUAGAAGUGACAGCUUAUAAUCUUAUUGGAAAUCAAGUUUCGAGUAAUUGGAAAAAGAUCAAAUAUGAACACCCAUAGUAUGUAAUUUUUUUGUAGUUGGUCCAUGCUCUGGUAGAUAUGAGUCUAUGUGGAUAUUAUUGGAUACAUUUGCUGACAUGAAUUAAUCUGUUUGGUCAUAUACAGGGAACUUAAUAUCUCCUAUUGUGGCCCAUGUUUUUUGUAAUGUGAUGGGUCUGCCAUUGUUGUCAUCUCCAAGGACAAAAGGUUUGUCCACUCAGUUCAAAUGAUUUCACUGUCAAAUUUAUUGCUUCUAGUUCAACAAAAUUUGACCUUGCAAUUACUAGCUUUGUAAUUCCUCAGGAGUAUAACAGCACUUAUCUAAGUAUCCUUAUUUCAGGUGGAUUUUUCUAUUGUGGUGGUGUAUCUUUCCACUUUAACACCCCAAUUUAGUCUCACAUUGGAUGUAGACUAAUAUUUAAAUUGACUUACAAGAGGCUGAUAGGUGUUCUAUUGUUACUUUCGUCUUAAAUAUUUUGGGUCAGUGGUUCGGACUCAAUGAAGUUGAUGGAUCAGUAUUCGAUCUUGUAUUGGGGAAUGGUGAGAGAUUCAAUCAGGAAAGGUCUAUUCGUAGAUGACACUAGAGGGCUGGGGAGAAUGAAAUGCCCUAACUUAGUCACACUGACUAACGGAUGUAAUUUAUCAUUUUUUCCUUUUGAGAGCAAGUUGAAUAUGAUUAUAUCCUCUAAUAUCUAGAUAAUAUACCUAUUUUUUCAAAUAUGAAUACAUCCUCCAAUAUCUCUUAGUAAUAUAUCUCAUUUUGAUCAUAUCUCCACUUAGAUAUAACAAUCCCUAUAAAAAAAUUAUGCUUCUGAUGCACUACACUAGUUUUAUUCAUCUAAAUUCUCAAAAGUAGGGCCACUUAAUAAACUAAUCCUAUGGGCUCCAAUUCCAACAGGUUCCUAAAUCCAUUGCACCGGAUAAGAGAAGUUCAUUGUAACGACCAAGAAUUUUCUGCUCCUCAGAUUAAAAAUUACCAUAAUUAGAGUUUUAUUUUAUUUGAAUUGAUUUGUUUCCUUGUUUGUGUUAUAUAAUAAAUGAAAGUUAAUAAAGAUUUGAAAUUUUCUUCUGUAAUUGUGUGGUCUAGCUAGAAAACUAAUUAAUUAAUUAAUCCAAGGAUAAAAUAUUUUGUGUAUCUUGAGGGGAAUGCCCCUUCCUCUCUUAUAUAAUGCUGGUCAGGCCUUCUCUUUUAUUCAUCAAUGAGUCAAGAGAAGCCUAACAGCAGGAGGGGUUAGAGGGAGGAGAGGGACCUCAAUCCUGAAGGAAGGUAGGUCCUCUACUUUUUUUAGUUUAAAGUUUUUAUUUAUAUUUGAGUUGCUAGCAUUUCUGAAAAAAUAAGAUAUUAAAGUAUUAUAUUUUUAGAGACUAUGAUACAUGAGAAUCUCAUUCAUAUUAGUUUGAUUUUGAUUCAUGAUUAAUCAAUUAUAGUUCAUGUUCCUUAUAUUUUAGUGGAUUUAAUUAUAUUACAAUAUAUUAAUUAUUAAGUUUAGCAUGUUGAUUUAAGUAAUAUUUUUUUAUGGAAAUUAUGCCAUUAAUAUUUAUGUGGAUUUAAUCAUUUUGCAACAUCUUAAUUAUUUAAUUUAGCAUGUUUACUUAAUGAAUUUGCUUAUUGUCCAUUUCAUUAGAAUUUCAUGUUGUAUUGAAUUAGAUCAUAUCAUUACAUUUAUCAAUUUCAUGUUGUAUUAAAAGGGGAAAAAAUUAAAAUUGGAUAUAGAGGUUUGACUUGAGUUCGACCCGAACUAGAUUGACCAGUCGAACUUGAUCGACGUAGCCAGAGUCGUGCUCGGGCUCAGCCUAUGGCAUGCAGCUGAGCAUUGAGCCCACUAGCCCGCAUAGAUGUGCUGCAACACCUAGCAGGCUGGCUCAAUAGACUUGCACAAGACCUGGCUUGGGAUCGACUCAGCCCGAGGUUGGCGUGGCUUGGAUCUCAACCUGUGGCUCGGCUUGGUGUAGGCAACCCAUAAAGGCUUGAUACAACCCAUGAUCAGCUCAUCGCAACCCAGCGCCUGAGGCCCUCACACUGGCUGACAUUGAAGCCAAGCCUGCUGCCCUCCUCAACCGUGUGGGCAUGUACAACCAUGUGUUUGCAGUGUUAAUUCGUCUGGAUUUUCAUGUUUGCUUGUUAGAUUAAGAUACCAAUGUGUUAAAUUAAGGUAGAUAGCCUAUAUUUGAACUUACAGGGACAGCAACUGUGGCUGCUGCAGCUGGUGUGGUCGGUUUCUUAUAUCUUCUAUUUCCAGCCACACGACCAGGACUGUACAAUGAUAUGAGAGAUGGCUGUAGCUGUUGGCACCGAUAUUGUAGUUGGAGUUGAUACUGAAGUUGGAUGGUAGCAACAGAAGAAAGUCACAACACGAAAGAGAAGCUCAAGAGCCCUCAUCGACUUGAAUCAGACAACAGGAAAGUUGUUUCCUUUUGGUUUUUACUUCUGUUAAUGAAAAUUUAGUGUUUUUUAGGUAUGUUUGUUUUACAUGUAUUCUACAUUGCUUUUCCUGAUAUUGAUUCCUGUCCAAUUCCUAUGCUACAUGGUAUGCCUGGGUUAAUAAUGAUCUUCAUUCAAAAAAGCAUCUUAGGUUAAAUCCCCUUUCUUUAAGUACUUCCCCUGAAUGAAUCGUUGUUUGAACAAUCAUGUUAGUGGUAGUUAAUGGGAAUAACCGUAAGCAAGAUAAAGCAGUAAAUAAUUCAACUAAAAUUUUAAAUUGAACAACCAUCCUUUUGUUGCUAUGUCACUUCUAUUAAUGUCGAGUAUGCUCAUUUUUUGAAUUGUGUUUGCACAAUAUGUUAUUGUUACUUUGCAGAUUAUGCUAGUCUUAAUCUAGAAUGCUAUCAUAUGGUAACUACUGCCUGAAGACAUAGACGAUCUAACAUUGCUCAAUAGAAAGUAGGAGACCAGGAAAAAAAAAUGGUAUUGUUAAAUAAGUUGAUUUUUCCUACAAAAGUGAUAACCUUUUGGAUUGUGGGUCUUCGAUAAAACAAGAUAAGAAGAAGAAGAAGAAGCUGCUUGGUGGCCUUCUGGUGGUGGGGCGUGGGGUUUAUAUGGGAUGCAAGAUGGGCAUUGGUGGAACGUUCUUCUCUCUCUCUCUGGCUGGCUGACAGACAAACUCAUGGUGGCAGGCAUAGGAAUCAUGCUUGUGUGGGGAAUAUAAGCAAGCGAGCAAAUAGAGGCAUGGAGGCGGGCGGGCGGGCGGCGGAGAGGAGAUUGAGCAUGGGUCACGGUAUGGUGGGGGUGGCUCUCCGAAACAAAACGGCUAUGAGCGGGGUGACCUGCCUUCCUUCAGGAUGGAGGUCCCUCUCCUGCUGUUAGGCUUCUUCUCUUGAUUCAUUGAUGAAUAAAAGAGAAGGGUCGAGCAGCAUUAUAUAAGAGAGGAAGGGGCAUUCCCCUCAAGAUACGAAAAAUAUUUUAAUUUUGGAUUAAUUAAUUAUUUAGUUUUCUAGCUAACCCACACAAUUAAGGAAGCAAUUUUCAAUUCUUUACUAACUUUCGUUUAUUAUAUAACACAAACAAGGAAACAAAUCAAUUCAAAUAAAACAGAACUCUAAUUAUGGUAAUUUUUAAUCUGAGUAGAAAAUUCUUGAUCCUUACAAUGGGCUUGUCUUAUCCAGUGCAAUGGAUUUAGGAACCUGUUGGAAUAUGAACCCACAGGAUUAGUUUCUUAAGUGACCCUACUUUUGAGAAUUUAGAUAAGUAAAAUUAGUGUAGUGCAUCAGAAGCAUUUUCUUUAUAUAGGGACUUGUUAUAUCUAAUUAGAGAUAUAUUACUAGGAGAUGAUGUUAGCAGAAAGGAUGUUAUGUUCUAAAAUUCUGAUUCCCAUACAGAACUUGCAAAACAUUUUAUCUCGAUCUUUGCCUCUAAACAGAACUUGGAAUUACAAAGCUUAAGCUUAAGGUAUUUCUGAAUGACACCAAUUAACUUGAUUGUUCGUAUAGCCUUUGAGGUGACAUCUCAAACGUUAGGAUAUUAUAUAUGCUGUUAAUAUUUAGAGGGUUGGAGCCUUUGACUCUUAGAGGCUUCUUUGUUUCGACGUGAUGAUUACACGGAGGCGUGGGACGUCUGAUGGGACUUUGGACUGAGAGAUUGGUGGGUAUUUGGUCAACCUUUUUUGUUGUUUUCUUCUUCCUUUGUCAUUUUCAUUGGACCUCACAUCGAAUCUACGUCACAUAUAUCAUCACUCUUUGACCCAUCACCCUCUCCUCUGCAUUUUGGAUCUACAUAGCUGAAUCCCUGUUAGUUCACAUGUUGGAUUGCAAUGCUGUGUUCUUGGAGUUACAAAGUAUCCUUGCUAGGCUUGUACAUCCUUGGUCCCACACGAUUCAUAUGCAGCUUCUUUGCAGGCCAUUCCAAAUGCAGCUGAGUUCUUGUUCGACUGGGGAUGACUUCGUUCAGGUACGAUGGUAACUCUGGACAUCCUGAGUGCAUCAUUUUUAACGAGGGAAAUAUUUCUUGUUCGGACAAAGUUUUAGAAACAAUCACAUACAUGACUGCUUCAUUUCCUGCCGAUCUAGCUACAUAUGUAGGAUGCACACAAUCUAUCACCACGCCAAAACAUCCAAAAAAGAUUAAAAGUCCUGUAGAAGAGAUGUUUCUACUAAGUUGAGUGCUUGUUUCCGCUGGAGGUCAUGGUGGAUGAUGGGGGAGUAGCGUUGAGGUCUGGGAUUUUGGGAUUGGGGUUGGAGGUGGCACUGGUGCUGGCCAGCGUCUGCUUCUGCUUCUGCUUCCGCUUCAGCUCAGACAGGAGAGCCUGGUUCUCCUGGUUGAGAAGCUGUGCUUUCUUCCUCAGCCUCUCGUUCUCCUUCAUGAUGUAGCAGUUCUGCAAGUACAGUUGGGUGUUGAG
rnacentral:lncRNA from 1 species